GGACUAUGGAAGAGAUCGUAGGCCUCUCCGUCGUAUGGUUGAGCAUCAUCUUCCCUUCUUCUAGCCGAGUUUGCUCUUCCUACUCCUACUGAGCUGACCUCUCAUCCCUUUGUCUCUAUUCAGACGAACUAAAAGGAUGAGAUGGUGAUCUUCAAAUAUCAUCAAUCUUGAGAAAUAAUCAAGGGUUUGAUACCUUCUCAGGAUGAAAAGUACCUUGCUGGCAUGAUCGAUGAAGAGGCACUUCUAAGUGCGUAUCAUAGUGCUUUGAUGGUGAGUCUUCUAUCCAUUACACAAUAUCUAUCUCCGCAUCUUCAGUUGACUAAUCGGUCAAUCAUGCAGGCAGGCUUCGACAUUCGAGCA
rnacentral:lncRNA from 1 species